CGAAAGCCUGACGGAGCAACGCCGCGUGAGGGACGAAGGCCUCUGGGCUGUAAACCUCUUUUCUCAAGGAAGAAGAUAUGACGGUACUUGAGGAAUAAGCCACGGCUAAUUCCGUGCCAGCAGCCGCGGUAAUACGGGAGUGGCAAGCGUUAUCCGGAAUUAUUGGGCGUAAAGCGUCCGCAGGCGGCUUUUCAAGUCUGCUGUUAAAGCGUGGAGCUUAACUCCAUCAUGGCAGUGGAAACUGAAAGGCUUGAGUAUGGUAGGGGCAGAGGGAAUUCCCGGUGUAGCGGUGAAAUGCGUAGAUAUCGGGAAGAACACCAGUGGCGAAGUCUCUCUGCUGGGCCAUUACUGACGCUCAUGGACGAAAGCCAGGGGAGCGAAAG
rnacentral:rRNA from 1 species